GAUGAACGCUGGCGGCGUGCCUAAUACAUGCAAGUCGAGCGAAUGGAUUGAGAGCUUGCUCUUAUGAAGUUAGCGGCGGACGGGUGAGUAACACGUGGGUAACCUGCCCAUAAGACUGGGAUAACUCCGGGAAACCGGGGCUAAUACCGGAUAACAUUUUGAACCGCAUGGUUCGAAAUUGAAAGGCGGCUUCGGCUGUCAAUUAAGGAUGGACCCGCGUCGAAUUAGCCAGUUGGUGAGGUAACGGCUAACCAAGGCAACGAUGCGUAGCCGACCUGGGAGGGUGAUCGGCCAAACUGGGACUGAGACACGGCCCAGACUCCUACGGGAGGCAGCAGUAGGGAAUCUUCCGCAAUGGACGAAAGUCUGACGGAGCAACGCCGCGUGAGUGAUGAAGGCUUUCGGGUCGUAAAACUCUGUUGUUAGGGAAGAACAAGUGCUAGUUGAAUAAGCUGGCACCUUGACGGUACCUAACCAGAAAGCCACGGCUAACUACGUGCCAGCCGCCGCUGUAA
rnacentral:rRNA from 1 species